rnacentral:rRNA from 1 species
AGUGAACGCUGGCGGUAGGCCUAACACAUGCAAGUCGAACGGCAGCACAGUAAGAGCUUGCUCUUACGGGUGGCGAGUGGCGGACCGGUGAGGAAUACAUCGGAAUCUACUUUUUCGUGGGGGAUAACGUAGGGAAACUUACGCUAAUACCGCAUACGACCUACGGGUGAAAGCAGGGGAUCUUCGGACCUUGCGCGAUUGAAUGAGCCGAUGUCGGAUUAGCUAGUUGGCGGGGUAAAGGCCCACCAAGGCGACGAUCCGUAGCUGGUCUGAGAGGAUGAUCAGCCACACUGGAACUGAGACACGGUCCAGACUCCUACGGGAGGCAGCAGUGGGGAAUAUUGGACAAUGGGCGCAAGCCUGAUCCAGCCAUACCGCGUGGGUGAAGAAGGCCUUCGGGUUGUAAAGCCCUUUUGUUGGGAAAGAAAAGCAGCAGGUUAAUACCCCGCUGUUCUGACGGUACCCAAAGAAUAAGCACCGGCCAACUUCGUG